rnacentral:lncRNA from 10 species
CUUUUCAUUCCCGUUGUUAUGGAGGUUGCAAAUUCGUGAAGAAUCAGCAUCAUGUUUGGCAGCUGAGUAUUGGAGCCAGGAGCCUGCCAUGAGGUUUUGAGAACAGAGUGCUGUUUUAGAGCUGGCAGCAGCAUCUCAGCCCAAGAGAAGGUUAUAUUCCCAGAGGAUGUCAGUCCCAAGGACCAGUAGCUGCCAUCAGUUUGGAUUCUGAAAACUAACUGGCAUCAACACUGGGUGUAGAAACAUGCUUGCCUUAUGUAUCAGAGGACAUGCUCAGCAGAUCCAAGAGAUAUAUUUGGCAACUUUUUCUAGAAAAGGCACAUUGGGUAUCAUUCAUUACAUUCUUGAGUUUUUUUGGGUUUUUUUUUUUUUUUUUGAGACAGUCUUGCUGUAUUGCCCAGGCUGGAGUGUGGUGGCACAAUCACAGCUCAUUGCAUCCUCAAUCACCCAGGCCUAAGCAAUCCUCCCACCUUGUAGCUGGGACUACAGCUCACAGCACACCUGGCUAAAAUUUUUUUUUUGUUGAGACGGAUUCUCUAUGUUGCCCAGGCUGGUCUCAGGCUCCUGGGCUCAGAUGGUCCUCCUGCCUCAGCUUCCAAAGGCACAGGCCAAGUUGUAGCUUUGUCCCUUGCCAUCAUGCCCAACAAGAGGUUCUAUACCUUUUAAUGAAUUGACUUUCAUAAAUUGGUUAUGUUGGUGGGCAAAGUUCUUUAAGCUGGAAAUUGUAAAUUCCUCCUGAAAUGUUUUUUCAUGCAGUUACCAUGAACUAAUACUACAAUAAAGGAUGGUCUUGGGUGUCAA